UCAUAUUGACUAGUUCAUGCCUUUGCCUAUUUUUACCUUAACAGAUCAACACAGAAAAUGAAAUUUCACAGGAAGGCUUUGAAGACUUGCUAACGUGUGGAAACAGGAAUAACCUUGUGCAGCUGUUGGACUGUUUUCCUUGAUGCCCUGCACUCCAGCCUGGAGGAGGAGUUUUGACCAUGAGAGCCACUACAAUAAACUGACCAUUUGCUGAAGCUGUUUUUCCUGAGAGGUGUGUUCAAUAAAUACUCAUACAGCAGUUGAAGCACGUGGCCAAUGAACACAGAACAUUAUCGUAAGGUGAUGUGUGUUGCCUUCCCAAAUGGCAUGGAAGCCAUGUGAAAUACAUGAUGGUGUUCCCAUGGCACUGCCUACGGAUGGUCCUAUCAAAGGAUGUAUGAAGUGCUGGGGAAAUCCACUCACAGUGAUAGGAAAAAAAUCUGCGUUAAUUUAACUUUAUAUUGGUUUAAGUGUAAUAAGCUGGCUUAGUGGAGGCAAUGGACAAAAUACUUCUGAACAGAAGUGGGGAAAUAGUUACUGAAGAAGUAUGAAAGCAAAGUACAAAAAAAAAAAAAAAAAA